UACAGAGGUCUCAAGCGUUGUUCGGAUUCAUUGGGCGUAAAGGGUGCGUAGGCGGCGCGGUAAGUCGGGUGUGAAAUCUCGGGGCUUAACUCCGAAACUGCAUUCGAUACUGCCGUGCUUGAGGACUGGAGAGGAGACUGGAAUUUACGGUGUAGCGGUGAAAUGCGUAGAUAUCGUGAAGGAAGACCAGUGCGAAGGCGGGUCUCUGGACAGUUCCUGACGCUGAGGCACGAAGGCCAGGGGAGCAAACGGG
rnacentral:rRNA from 1 species